CAGGGGUUUGUCAACAGCCCAGCAUGGCAGGGACAGUUUCUCCACUGAGGUUUCCUGUAGCUUGUGUCAAGUUGAUAUAAAACUAACUACCUUGGAUGCGUUGUGUGGUAUAUGAAUUAUGCGUUGAAAAGCCGUUUUUUUAGAAUGCCAAAGGGUGCUGGCCAGAGUACAGCUGACCUUGGCCUCAACCGCGCCCCUCCUUACCCCUUUAGUGGCGUCCUCCUAAUUUCCCUAGGCAUUCAGCAGCUGCUAUGCUCCCACUGCCGGCCAGAGACACUUUGGUUUUACACUUGGGCUUUUCGUUUUAAUUAUUUGUUCUUCCCUACCUCCUGCUAGUUAGUUUACAAGUUCUUUGAAACACCACCUUCUUUCGAUCCUGUGUCUUUACCUCGGAACAGUUACAUAAACGCUCUUCAGCCCGCUACAGAAUCCUAGCCGAGAUGCAGGUGUCUGAGUCCAGUGACUGUUUCGACAUAGGAAACUUGAGGGCUUAAGCAUAUGCUUUGUAAACCAGAGUCCCAUUCCCUGGGAGUCCCAGGUUCACCCCGCUUCGUUCAGGCUCUGUGCUCUGGGAGGUCUUUACGCCUCACGAGGAUGGCUGUGCCUGUGCCAUAUGGAAGAGCAGCUGGAGAAACCGAGAGAAAUAAAUUCAGAUGGAUUUUGGACCUGCAGAACCCUGCAUCGUAAAGUCUAACGGCUGAAGCAAUGAUACCAGACCAGAGGGAUCUGGGCUCCCUUCCCCACCUCGCUUCUGCUCUCGCUGUUCGGAUCUAGGUCCUGGCACCACAGUUUUCUAUACCAGAGAAGCAGCUCUCAAACUGGUUUCUGUUGACCUGUGCCAAUCUCGGGGACUCUUUAGGCACACAUUUAGUAAAGGGAACAGCUGUUCUCUGUGUUCUGGGUAUAUUGAAAUUCUUUGUUUACUUUGUUCUAAGUGUAUUGUAAUUCUCCUUUUGAUAAGUCUUCAUUUCUCUUUCUCCUCCCCUCACCAUUUUUUAUAAGCAUUGAG